AAGAGGAAGAAAAAACGGAGAGAGUCUGAGAGAAACUAUGUCCUUGAUGAAGAUGACUACGAGCUGCUGCAGGAUAAUAAUAUCACUGGUUUCCGCCGGCCCAAACCCAAUAAAUUUAAGCGAUUGAAGAAAGCGGGGAGGGAUGCCGAUGCGGAGGAGCGCUCUGGGUUCUCCGACGAGGAGGAAUCUGAAAAGAACAGCAAGGGCGGGCGGACUGCAGAGGAGAAGCUUAAGCGCAGGUUGUUCGGCGAUGAUGAAGCUGUCCCUCUGGAGGACAUAGCGGAAGAAGAGGAGCAACCUGAGGAAGACAUAGGCGGGGAUGACAUUAUUGGUGAGGGUGAGGACGACGAGAUGGCAGAUUUCAUUGUUGAUGAGGAGG
rnacentral:misc_RNA from 1 species